rnacentral:rRNA from 1 species
GAUGAACGCUAGCUACAGGCUUAACACAUGCAAGUCGAGGGGUAACGAGAGGAAAGCUUGCUUUCCUUGUCGACGACCGGCGCACGGGUGAGUAACGCGUAUCCAACCUGCCCCCAACUAGGGAAUAACCUUGCGAAAGUAAGACUAAUACCCUAUAAUUUCCUCAGAUGACAUCUCACGAGGAAUAAAGAUUUAUCGGCUGUGUAUGGGGAUGCGUCUGAUUAGCUUGUUGGCGGGGUAACGGCCCACCAAGGCAACGAUCAGUAGGGGUUCUGAGAGGAAGGUCCCCCACAUUGGAACUGAGACACGGUCCAAACUCCUACGGGAGGCAGCAGUGAGGAAUAUUGGUCAAUGGGCGGAAGCCUGAACCAGCCAAGUAGCGUGCAGGAUGACGGCCCUAUGGGUUGUAAACUGCUUUUAUACAGGAAUAAAGUUAGCCACGUGUGGUUAUUUGUAGGUACUGUGUGAAUAAGGACCGGCUAAUUCCGUGCCAGCCGCCGCAGUAA